rnacentral:misc_RNA from 1 species
GGGGGGGGGAGGGGGGAAGGGAGGGGGCGAUUCCAAAAUAUCACAGAAAAAUUCCUUUUAGAAUAGGGACUAGUCUAGAGUAUGACAUAUAAACUAAACAUUACCUUUUUAAAUAAGUAACAUAUGAUCAGUAAAAACAGUUUGUCCAUAAUUGAGUAGUCGUUGGAGAAUGAAAUAUUUACCUCAUUCCCUACACGGAACUCUUCUAGGCAGAUGGGAC